AUGCUUUGCCAGCUUAUGUACUAAAAUAGGAAAGAUGUGGAGAAGAUUAUGGUCUCUGGGCAAGAAUGACAAGCAAAUGCAUGCAGAGUCUCAUUUUUAU
rnacentral:snRNA from 1 species